CUACGGAAGGCAGCAGUGGGGAAUAUUGGACAAUGGGCGAAAGCCUGAUCCAGCCAUGCCGCGUGAGUGAUGAAGGCCCUAGGGUUGUAAAGCUCUUUCAACGGUGAAGAUAAUGACGGUAACCGUAGAAGAAGCCCCGGCUAACUUCGUGCCAGCAGCCGCGGUAAUACGAAGGGGGCUAGCGUUGUUCGGAAUUACUGGGCGUAAAGCGCACGUAGGCGGAUACUUAAGUCAGGGGUGAAAUCCCGGGGCUCAACCCCGGAACUGCCUUUGAUACUGGGUAUCUGGAGUCCGGAAGAGGUGAGUGGAAUUCCGAGUGUAGAGGUGAAAUUCGUAGAUAUUCGGAGGAACACCAGUGGCGAAGGCGGCUCACUGGUCCGGUACUGACGCUGAGGUGCGAAAGCGUGGGGAGCAAACAGGAUUAGAUACCCCGGU
rnacentral:rRNA from 1 species